rnacentral:tRNA from 2 species
GCAGAAGUGGCUCAGUGGUAGAGCAUCGCCUUGCCAAGGCGAGGGUCGCGGGUUCGAAUCCCGUCUUCUGCUCCA